rnacentral:tRNA from 1 species
GAGGAUAUAGCUUAAAUGGUAAAGUGCAUGCUUAGCAUGCAUGAGGUCCAGGAUUCAAUCUCCAGUAUCUCCU